rnacentral:tRNA from 1 species
AGGGUCGUAGCACAAUUGGUAGUGCACCGGACUCCAAAUCCGGGGGUUGAGGGUUCAAGUCCUUCCGGCCCUGCCA